CCUACGGGAGGCACCAGUGGGGAAUUGUUCACAAUGGGCGCAAGCCUGAUGACGCAACGCCGCGUGGAGGAUGAAGGUCUUCGGAUUGUAAACUCCUGUUGCCCGGGACGAACGGCUCCAACUUAAUACGUGGGAGUGUGACGGUACCUGCUGAGGAAGCCCCGGCUAACUCUGUGCCAGCAGCCGCGGUAAUACAGAGGGGGCAAGCGUUGUUCGGAAUUACUGGGCGUAAAGGGCGCGUAGGCGGCCCGUUAAGUCGAACGUGAAAUCCCUGAGCUCAACUCGGGAACUGCGUCCGAUACUGGCGGGCUUGAGUCCGGGAGAGGGAUGCGGAAUUCCAGGUGUAGCGGUGAAAUGCGUAGAUAUCUGGAGGAACACCGGUGGCGAAGGCGGCAUCCUGGACCGGCAUUGACGCUGAGGCGCGAAAGCUAGGGGAGCAAACGGGAUUAGAUACCCCGGUAGUCCUCGCCCUAAACGAUGAAUGCUUGGUGUGGCGGGUAUCGAUCCCUGCCGUGCCGCAGCUAACGCAUUAAGCAUUCCGCCUU
rnacentral:rRNA from 1 species